GAUGAACGCUGGCGGCGUGCCUAAUACAUGCAAGUCGAGCGAACAGACGAGGAGCUUGCUCCUUUGACGUUAGCGGCGGACGGGUGAGUAACACGUGGGUAACCUACCUAUAAGACUGGGAUAACUUCGGGAAACCGGAGCUAAUACCGGAUAAUAUUUCGAACCGCAUGGUUCGAUAGUGAAAGAUGGCUUUACUAUCACUUAUAGAUGGACCUGCGCCGUAUUAGCUAGUUGGUAAGGUAACGGCUUACCAAGGCAACGAUACGUAGCCGACCUGAGAGGGUGAUCGGCCACACUGGAACUGAGACACGGUCCAGACUCCUACGGGAGGCAGCAGUAGGGAAUCUUCCGCAAUGGGCGAAAGCCUGACGGAGCAACGCCGCGUGAGUGAUGAAGGUCUUCGGAUCGUAAAACUCUGUUAUUAGGGAAGAACAAACGUGUAAGUAACUGUGCACGUCUUGACGGUACCUAAUCAGAAAGCCACGGCUAACUACGUG
rnacentral:rRNA from 1 species